rnacentral:rRNA from 1 species
GACGAACGCUGGCGGCGUGCUUAACACAUGCAAGUCGAACGCUGAAGCUCAGCUUGCUGGGUGGAUGAGUGGCGAACGGGUGAGUAACACGUGAGUAACCUGCCCUCUUCUUUGGGAUAACGCCCGGAAACGGGUGCUAAUACUGGAUAUUCACUGAUUCUCGCAUGGGGGUUGGUGGAAAGGUUUUUUCUGGUGGGGGAUGGGCUCGCGGCCUAUCAGCUUGUUGGUGGGGUGAUGGCCUACCAAGGCUUUGACGGGUAGCCGGCCUGAGAGGGUGACCGGUGACAUUGGGACUGAGAUACGGCCCAGACUCCUACGGGAGGCAGCAGUGGGGAAUAUAGCACAAUGGGCGAAAGCCUGAUGCAGCGACGCCGCGUGAGGGAGGGAGGCCUUCGGGUUGUAAACCUCUUUCGCUCAUGGUCAAGCCGCAGCUUUGGGUUGUGGUGAGGGUAGUGGGUAAAGAAGCGCCGGCUAACUACGUG